rnacentral:rRNA from 1 species
UAACGCGUGAGCAAUCUGCCUUUAGGAGGGGGAUAACAGUCGGAAACGGCUGCUAAUACCGCAUAAUGUGUGUCCUUCGCAUGUUGGAUAUACCAAAGGAGCAAUCCGCCUUUAGAUGAGCUCGCGUCUGAUUAGCUAGUUGGCGGGGUAACGGCCCACCAAGGCGACGAUCAGUAGCCGGACUGAGAGGUUGAACGGCCACAUUGGGACUGAGACACGGCCCAG